rnacentral:misc_RNA from 1 species
GAUGAAGAACGUAGCGAAAUGCGAUACUUGGUGUGAAUUGCAGAAUCCCGUGAACCAUCGAGUCUUUGAACGCAAGUCGCGCCCGAAGCCAUUAGGCCGAGGGCACGCCUGCCUGGGCGUCACACGUCGUUGCCCCCCCAUCUACUCCUUCGGGAUUGCGGGGGGCGGAUGAUGGCCUCCCGUGCGCCUCGUCGCGCGGUUGGCAUAAAUGCCAAGUCCUCGGCGACGCACGCCACGACAAUCGGUGGUUGCGAAACCUCGGUUGCCCGUCGUGUGCGGUCGUCGCGCAUCGAGGGCUCGAAAAAAUUGCCGGGCUCCGGCUCGGCUUUCAACGCGACCCCAGGUCAGGCGGGGUUACCCGCUGAAUUUAAGCAUAUCAAUAAGCGGAGGA